rnacentral:rRNA from 1 species
AUAGCGUAUAUUAAAGUUGUUGCAGUUAAAAAGCUCGUAGUUGAAUUUCGGGAUCAAUAUGUUUGGUCGUGCCUCGGUACGUACUAGCUUAUUGGUUUCUCCUUUCUGAAGAACCAUGAUGUCAUUCAUUUGGUGUCGUGGGGAAUCAGGACUGUUACUUUGAAAAAAUUAGAGUGUUUAAAGCAGGCUCACGCUUGAAUACAUUAGCAUGGAAUAAUGAAAUAGGACGUUUGAUUCUAUUUUGUUGGUUUCUAGGAUCGACGUAAUGAUUAAUAGGGAUAGUUGGGGGCAUUAGUAUUCAAUUGUUAGAGGUGAAAUUCUUGGAUCGCCGUAAGACGAACUACUG